CCCACCUCCAUCUCUCUCCCCUCAAACGGCACAAACACCACACGAGGUGAUGGACGCAACCAAGCCCAGUCUCCUCUAGGGUUUGCGUCCGUCAUCGGGAUGAGAACCGGCGGCUACGGCGGCAAUGGCAGCUUGCGGGGCAAAGGCAUCGAUCUGGAGGACGGGUGGAACUUUAUGCAGAGGGGUGUCAACAUGCUCAUCGACAUCCUCGAGGGCCAGAGCCCGAGCACAACUCUAAGGACUACAUGAUGCAGCUGAACACGUUAGUGAUUGCUGGCUUUCCUGCAUUGGUUGAUUUUAAAUUCAGUUAAAAAAGAUAGAAUGACUUUCAGAGACAUGUGCUUGCAUGGGUUUGUUACUGCCCUUUAUGCAUGAUUGCAUCAGAAAACAAGGCCAGAGUAUCAUCUUAAAAGCUCUUUUUUGUUGAGAUGUGUUUCCAUUGUUGCAGAUAGAAUGACUUUCAGAGACAUGUGCUUGCAUGAGUUUGUUACUGCCAUUUAUAUCUUAUUGCAUCAGAAAACAAGGCCAGAGUAUAAUUCUGCCAUGCUUGGGGUCAACAGGUUCAACAAUUGUUCUUAUACUUUUGAUAUGCUACAUUCAGUCCUCAUUGCAAGAAUUUGUAUACACAAGGAUGUACGAUGCAAGAUGACUAAGAAAAUAAAACUGCAUUUUGUUCAGAACUUCAGGCUGCAAUCUGUGUUUAAAUGUAGCUAUGUUGUAGUACUAUUGAUAAGUGGUACUUUUUCCUAUAAAUUUUUAUGGCUUUUGUAGCUGCGGAUAAAUUGAUAAUUGGGGUUAGGGGAUAUGUACAUAUCAGCCACAUCAGGUGAACUUCAGAAGUUCUGAUAAUACGUACUUUUCUUCCCCAA